GCCGAGGUGGUGAAAUUGGUAGACACAAGGGACUUAAAAUCCCUCGGGCUUCGGUCCAUGCGAGUUCAAGUCUCGCUCUCGGUA
rnacentral:tRNA from 1 species